GGCAGUAGAAACAAAAGUGAAACUGUUUGAGCAGCAUAUUCCAGCAUUCUUGAGGCCUGAGUGUAGCCUUCAUUGAUUUGAGAUCUAUCAGACCAUUCUCUCACUAGAAGGGAAAACCUAUAAAGGCAACAGGCCAUAAGAGAGACCCAGUUUGGGGAUAUUUUAAUCAAGUUCCUCUACCUGUGGAUAAGACAGGCAUGCGUGCAAAAUGCAAACAGUGCAAGAAAGAAAUGCAAGGCCUGGUUGGCCGAAUGAAACAACAUCAUGAGAAAUGUUCCCUCUCAGGAGAAAGCUGAGUUGAAGAUGAUGAAAGGAACAUGUCUGAACAUGCAGGAUCUUGGAGAAUCCAUCCUCAACAUACAGGAUUCUGAAGACUAUCCACCUUCAAGAUCACUAUCAUUUUCUAUAGUUUCAGAGUUAUCUGCCAAUGAUAGUGUUUCAGUCACAUCAUGUAUGUCACAGUAUAUCACCUGUAGCAAAAAUCUCCAUCAUCCAGAAAUAGCCAUAAAUAAAUUUGUGAUAAGAACCAGCAGAUUACAAAAAGAGGUAAUUGAUUAAAAAAUUGCCCAGUUUGUUUAUGCAACAAACUCUCCUUUCCAUAUGAUAGAGAACCCACGCUUCAUUAACAUGGUUCAGUCAUUAAGACCAGGAUACAGUCCACUCAACAGAGCAGAUGUCGCAGGCAAAUUGCUGGAUGAAGUGUAUGAAAAAGAAAUUGAUCAGCGUGCAAAAGGUCUAGAGGGUAAAAUUGUUAACCUGAGUCUUGAUGGUUGGAGCAAUGUCCGCAAUGAUCCUGUUGUAUGUGCUUGUGUGACAACAGGAGGAGGGAAUGUUUUCCUUACAGAAACAAUUGAUACAAUCAGGAAAUGCCCACACAGCAGAAUACUUACAAGAAAUUGCAGUAAAAGCUAUAACAAAACUGAAAAAAAAAAUUCAAAUGUCUAGUAUGCAGCUUGGUCACAGACAAUGCUGCAAAUGUAUCCAAGAGAGUCCCAACCUAAUAACAUAUGGUCGCAGUACUCAUUUGAUGCAAGUCCUCACCAAAGAUUUCAGUGUUCCAGAAAUAAAGGCUAAUGUUGUUGAAAUUGCAAAAUAUUUCUGUAACAACCACUUUGCAGCAGCUGCUCUGAAAAAAGUGGGAGGAACCAAGCGAACUCUCCCACAAGAGGUGUGAUGGAACUCAGGAGUGAAACUGUUUUGAGCACUGUAUCAAGAACUGGCCUCAUCUGAUGACAGUUUGUGAACAAAAUCAUGAAAAAAUAGAUGGCACCGUCACAGCCAAAGUUCUCAACACUGGGCUUAAGAGAAACGUUGAACACAUGCUGAGUACCCUGAAGCCUAUUUCCGUAGCCUUGAACAAAAUGCAGGGAAAUCGCUGUUUUAUUGCUGACGCUGUUGAAAUUUGGAAGGCACUGAGUGAGAUCUUAAAAAGAGAAAUAUGCAAUGACAGUUAAAAUUACAAACAUUAAAAAAACAAAUGGGACAAGCACUAUCACCAGCUCAUUUUCUUGCAAAUAUUCUCAAUACUCGGUACGAGGGUCAAACCUUAACUGAUGAAGAGGAGGAGGAACUGGCUAUGGACAUCCAGCAAUCCUCCCUCCAUAAUGCCAACUAUAAUAAACUUCAGAGCUAAGGGUGAACCAUUCAAGAAAUAUGUUUGCUGAUGUUUUAAAGAAAGUCACACCAGUGAAUUGGAAGUCACUUAAGCACUUGGAUUCAGAGACUAUUGAAGUGAUAAUCUCACUUUUAACAGCAGUAGCUUCUUCUGUAGAAAGCCUAUUCUCUUCCUUUGGACUAAUUCAUUCCAAAUGGAGAAAUCGUUUGGGACCUGAAAAAGCAGGAAAGCCUGUUUUUCUUUUCCAGAUUAUGAACAAACAGGAAAAUGAAGGUGAAGACGUCUGAGUUAGCUACAGAAGCCAAUAUUUUAAGUUUCUCAUGUUGACCUGGCUGACAGUCAAUUUAAUUUUUUUUUAAGAUUUCAUUUAACUAUUUUAGUUAACAAUUUUAACAAAACCAAACCUGAUUUAAAUAAAAACUGAAUGCUUAACUAAAUUCAAAAAUUCAUAUACUUGUUUUGUUAAAAUAUUACAUGUUUGCUGUUGAAGAAAAAAUCCAGAAUACAUAAUGUUGUUUUAGUUAAAAAAAACAAUUUAAAUGUGUCUGGUGAUGUUCUCCUCCUGAUACAGCAUGGCAAGAAAAUCCUCCAAAUAUUAAUGAUUAACUUGUUGAAUUGGAGAUAUUUAUGAAGUCAUUGGGAGGUGAACUAUCUACUUCAAUUACCUUUGGUAAAUGAAAUAACCAAACAGUCAUUCAUUUUCUGAUAUAGCUGUAAAACUAAUCUGAAAAAAGUUUUCAAAAUAAAUCACUUUAAAAAUG